rnacentral:rRNA from 1 species
GACGAACGCUGGCGGCGCGCCUAACACAUGCAAGUCGAACGGAGUUGUGUUGAAAGCUUGCUGGAUAUACAACUUAGUGGCGGACGGGUGAGUAACACGUGAGUAACCUGCCUCUCAGAGUGGAAUAACGUUUGGAAACGAACGCUAAUACCGCAUAACGUGAGAAGAGGGCAUCCUCUUUUUACCAAAGAUUUAUCGCUGAGAGAUGGGCUCGCGGCCGAUUAGGUAGUUGGUGAGAUAACAGCCCACCAAGCCGACGAUCGGUAGCCGGACUGAGAGGUUGAUCGGCCACAUUGGGACUGAGACACGGCCCAGACUCCUACGGGAGGCAGCAGUGGGGAAUAUUGCACAAUGGAGGAAACUCUGAUGCAGCGACGCCGCGUGAGUGAAGAAGUAUUUCGGUAUGUAAAGCUCUAUCAGCAGGGAAGAUAAUGACGGUACCUGACUAAGAAGCACCGGCUAAAUACGUG